GCGGGUCAACAGCUGACUGGAGGAAUGGAGCGCUCCCUGUUCCAUUAUUAUUAUUAUUACUACUAUUAUUAUUAUUAUUAUUUUGUUUCUUCAGUAGUUUUCUAAAAAACCAAGACAAGGCGACUAAAUGAAAGAAGGCGCGGAGAGAGAUGUGAGAAAACGCGACAAAUGCGAGGAUCUUGUUUUGAAGCCGCGCGCCGUCACGGCGACGCCCCGCCAUCAGAGCCGCGUGCGUGCGUCAGUAACGGCUGUAGUAGCUGAAGCACGUCCAGGAGGGAAUGUGCUUUCCUUUUUCUCUCGGAAAGCUGCGUGCACCACACCAGCACACCAACAGGGAGUAAUGGGGUGUGAACGGGAGCUUUUCUCCCUCUCUCUCUCUCCCCCUCUCUCUCUCUCUCUCUUCUUUCUGCCCCCCUUUCGACCUGUUCAUUUACGUGACGCCCGGUGAUGAGCUCUGAUGAUAUGCGGAGAUGCGGCUCGCGCCAUCGAGAUUUAUUCACGUUUGAGGUCUCGGAAGAACGGCUCGUGCUUUUCUACCGAGAAACACUCAGGCAAUCGUCUUCACAAUGUCAAAGAGCUGAUGUGGACUUGUGAAAGAUCUGUGCUUAUCCUCACAUCUCUCCUCUGCUUAUGCCCUUCACGUAUCUUUUUGCGGUCUGGGCUUGCUGUUCUGUAACUGAGUAGCCAGGAAGCCCUUACCCCAAAAAGUAUGUGUGGGGGGUCCAAACAGCACACACUCCUCAUUUCUCAGACUCAGGACAACAUCACAGCAAACUCCUUGUCCAUUGUCGUACUGUUUUUAAUUACCGUAAAUACAUACUUUCUCUAUUUUGUACUAUACAUUUGAAGCCAAUAACAUCAUCUCUCAUGGUGUUUUCGUGACAAAAAAAUGAUGUUUUACAAUUUACAUAAAAAAUUUAAUUCCAGAAGGUUAAAAAUGAAAUGUGUGUGUAUCCUGCAGUCGAAAACAUAAAUCAAAAUUUGACCAUUUUUGUUAUUGCGAUAAUAAAGGAACAUCUGUGAAACCUAACACACAAAAUGUCUUGUUGCUAUAAAUCAUAUUUAUAAAGAUUCUGAACAUUUAAAUCUAAAUUUAUGAUAGAGCAGGCCAUAAACACUCACACUGAAAUUCAGAGACUUUCGUAAUCUAAAAUUGAACCUCAGCAUAUUUUCUUUAUUCCUCUUGCGACUCCUAACUCCUAAACAUAUGACAUCUAGAUAAAAUACAGAAUAAUAAAGAAUAAAACACUAAGAGCAUACUGUAAUAGGAAAAUAGUCAAUGGCAGGUGGUGUGAUGUGGCCCGACAGGAAGCAGAGAUAUUCUAACUACCUUGAGGUUGAUUAUUUUCCAGUAACAACAUGUCCCAAAAAUGUCUUUUUCCUCUUCUAUCACAGCAAUUUGCCAAUGACAAUUACAAAUUUUUAAUUAUUAAUAAACAACGUCAUGCUCUUUAACUGUUUCUUGUUACAUUUAAUGUUGUGGAACGUCUAUGAGACAAGUUAGCUCCUGUUAUAACUUACGUUAUAGCAGCUAGAAACUGUCGUUCACUCACCAGCCUCUCUUUUUUGGAAUUAAUAAGACAAAAAUACAUCUUGUCAUGUUUCCGAGAAAGUCCUCUGUCCUAAAGACCAUGCCGUGGCAGAAAACGUCCUGUUACAAAGUGCUGACACCUGAAACUCCUUCCAUAAAUAUUAAAUAAACAUCUCCUAACAGAAAGCUUCACCAUAUCAAUGAUUUCUUUCUUAAAUGAUAUGUUUUUUAAUGUUAAUCUUAGAUUGUGUAGCUCACCUACUUUGUAAAUAAGAUAUUAUUAUAGAAACUAUCAUGUAUUAAAUGAUUUAUAAGCAUUUGAAUUACUGUCAGAGCUGCUGUUAUCGAAAGUCACCUUUCCCUACACCUUCUGACCAAUCAGAUUCAAGAAUUCAAUAGCCUGUGGUAUAAUUUAUGUUAUACAACAGUUAGUUCUGGUCCACUAAUUUGAUUGGUUGAGCAGCGUUCCAAGAGUGCCUAUAAUUCCUAUAACCACAUUGGGCAUUGUAUCAUUCCGCUCGUCUGUGUUCUCUACAUAAAAUUCCACUUCCUAGUUCAAAAUGGUUACUCCUGUAGUGUUAGCCACAUCAUCUUUAUGUAAAUAUAUGUAGUCUCCUGUAGUUCUGUGUAUUUGUUUUAUGUAGCACCUUGGUCCUGGAGGAACGAUGUUUCGUUUCACUGUGUACUAACUAGCUGUAUAUGGUUGAAAUGACAAUAAAAGCCACUUGACACUUGA